AAAUUGAAGAGUUUGAUCAUGGCUCAGAUUGAACGCUGGCGGCAGGCCUAACACAUGCAAGUCGAGCGGAAACGAGUUAUCUGAACCUUCGGGGAACGAUAACGGCGUCGAGCGGCGGACGGGUGAGUAAUGCCUAGGAAAUUGCCCUGAUGUGGGGGAUAACCAUUGGAAACGAUGGCUAAUACCGCAUGAUGCCUACGGGCCAAAGAGGGGGACCUUCG
rnacentral:rRNA from 1 species